rnacentral:piRNA from 1 species
UCCACUAAGCAUCUGGGAUUUCUUACC